rnacentral:rRNA from 1 species
CUACGGGACGCUGCAGUGAGGAAUUUUGCACAAUGGGGGAAACCCUGACGCGGCAACGCCGCGUGAGUGAUGAAGGCCUUCGGGUCGUAAAGCUCUGUCAAGUGGGAAGAACCCACCCCUUGCUAAUAUCAUGGGGUGCUGACGGUACCACUGAAGGAAGCACCGGCUAACUCCGUGCCAGCAGCCGCGGUAAUACGGAGGGUGCAAGCGUUAUUCGGAAUUACUGGGCGUAAAGGGCGCGUAGGCGGCUUCUUAAGUCGGAUGUGAAAUCCAGGGGCUCAACCCCGGAAGUGCAUCUGAAACUAAGAAGCUUGAGUAUGGGAGAGGGAAGUGGAAUUCCUGGUGUAGAGGUGAAAUUCGUAGAUAUCAGGAGGAACACCGGUGGCGAAGGCGACUUCCUGGACCAAUACUGACGCUGAGGCGCGAAGGCGUGGGGAGCAAACAGGAUUAGAUACCCUUGUAGUC